GGGUCAGUGCAGAAAGCCUUUUUUAAAAGUCGUUCUGCUCCCCUUAAAUGUAUUAGCGAGUUUAUAAACUAGGCUCUGUCUAUUGGUGUGAUAAUUAUCUACACCGUGGAUUCAGCUUGGACUUGCUUCUAACCGUCUGCAAGGACAGCCUUUUUGACCAAUUUGACCUCAAAUCAGGUAGGACUACCCGCUGAACUUAA
rnacentral:misc_RNA from 1 species